rnacentral:misc_RNA from 1 species
GGGUAAGAUUACUUUUCAAACUCCUCACACGUUCUAGAUUCUUGGUGCUGACAUUCCUAGCCAGUUCAUCCAGAACUGGAUAAGCGUCUCUCUCAAGGUCUGCCACACUGGAAUCCAAGUACAUGCACACAACCUCCAAAGCAUUUUCCAGAACCUGAAACUCAAACGGGAGCUCAUACUGCUCACCUUCAGCAGCUUCUGAAACUGGCAACCACUUUCCUCCUCUCGAAACAUUCCCAUCAUUUUCAAGUUGAGAUGAACCCGUCUUAGCAAGUAGCUUCCUUAGCUGAUCUACAAAUGGAAUAACCUCUUGGCGAAGAGGGUGAAGUAAUAGGACUUCUUCAGCAGUAACUAUAGCUUUUAUGAACUCUAAAUGAACAACCAUGGCCUUUUCGCUGGCGAGUAUGCUAGAUGAGUGUGAGAAAACAGGACCAAGAAUCCUCAAAUCCCUAGCCGGAAUUGCAG